UGGUGCUCUUCAUUUUGGGACAUGCUUUGGACUCGGGAAGAAGAGGCUGUGUGACACGAGCGAAGGGUCACCUGGGUUUUCUCCAGGUUCUCCAAUUUCCUCUCAUAGUCCAGAGUACACUCUGCCUGAUUCAUGGCCUACCAGAACUGCAAUAGAUCGUCCAUGUGCCGACUGAAACAUUGCUGUUCUGUGGAAUCCAAAAGGCCGUCACCUCUCAGUUCAAGUGAAAACCUGUCAGGCAGUCCCCAUUUGCUCAUUAAAUAAAC